rnacentral:rRNA from 1 species
CGCGAAUAGCUCAUUACAACAGCUAUAAUUUACUUGAUCUUGACACAAUCCUACUUGGAUAACUGUGGUAAUUCUAGAGCUAAUACAUGCAUUAAAGCUCUGACCUCACGGGAAGAGUGCAUUUAUUAGAACAAAACCAAGCGGCUUCGGCUGUUUCUGGUUGACUCAUAGUAACUGAGCUGAUCGCAUGGUCUUGCACCGGCGACGUGUCUUUCAAGUAUCUGCCGUAUCAACUUUCGAUGGUAGUGUAUCUGACUACCAUGGUGAUCACGCGUAACGGAGAAUAAGGGUUCGGCUCCGGAGAGUUCGCCUGAGAAAUCGCGAACACAUCUAAGGAAGGCAGCGGGCGCGAAAAUUACCCACUCUCAGCACGAGGAGGUAGUGACGAAAAAUAACGAGACCGUUCUCUUAUGAGGCCGGUCAUCGGAAUGGGUACAAUUUAAACCCUUUAACGAGUAUCUAUGAGAGGGCAAGUCUGGUGCCAGCAGCCGCGGUAAUUCCAGCU